rnacentral:rRNA from 1 species
UACGUAGGGUGCAAGCGUUGUCCGGAAUUAUUGGGCGUAAAGAGCUCGUAGGCGGUUCGUCGCGUCGGCUGUGAAAUCCCGAGGCUCAACCUCGGGUCUGCAGUCGAUACGGGCGGACUGGAGUUCGGCAGGGGAGACUGGAAUUCCUGGUGUAGCGGUGAAAUGCGCAGAUAUCAGGAGGAACACCGGUGGCGAAGGCGGGUCUCUGGGCCGAUACUGACGCUGAGGAGCGAAAGCUAGGGGAGCGAACGGG